rnacentral:lncRNA from 1 species
GUGGUUUCUCCGUCAUGCCAACUCCCGCAGACAAUGGCUGCUUUGUCCAGAAGAGAUGAUGAUUUAGAUGACAACCUGGCUUAAACCUCAGAAACCUUCAAUCUCUCCUUCUUCAAACAGUUUUUAUUAGAAGGAUGGCUGUGAAAAAUGAAGCCCUUAUGCACAAAGCCACCGCGUUUCACUGCGAUGUUCACCUGGCCUAUGAAGAUCUCCGGACACAAAACCAGGCAACAAAAUCAGGAUGCAACAAGAUGGAGGGGCAAAGCACAGAAGCGGAGUGGGCCCUGCCGUAGGAUGGUGAUGAGUCCAAUCUUGUGCAUGUCUCGUACACAGAAGAGCUGCAAGCUCAGGAACAAAACGGCCACAUCAUGCACAGAAGACAGUGCCCCAUGACAGAUACUCCAUUUCUUACUCAGACACCCACUCUGAGAAAACAGUUGACUUUCACUGGCCAUGAGAACCAUCUGGAUUCUGGUGAUAACUGGAUCCUCCUGUUCCCAAGGCUACCCAUCAAGAGCUCACACUGCUACUGUUUCUCACAUAUCACUUGCUUGAUGGCCUAUGGGUAUCCUCAAAGCUCCUUGCUUCCUCUGGGAUCCACACUUCCUCAUGCGAAUCCAUGGAAAUAAGAAGAUAUACCUUCAUCUUCCCAAAAGAUCGGUUGGGACAGAGGUUCAUCUUGCUCCUGGGCCACUGCCACUGUUCAAGACUUGUUUGGUCAGAAGACUGCACUGGACCCUGCUUCUUCAGAAUGCUCUAAACCAAGGAGUAGCAAUAGCUUUCAAAUGCUUGAGUACCCUAAGUCUAGAGAACUCAAGUCAGUUUUUAUAGACAGUUCUCUCCCCGUAGUUUGGUCUGGCUCGUUACACUUGUAACGAAGACAUCAUACAUACACUCCCUUCUUGCAGGUACUUCUGUCUCUGUACACAGCUUUCUCAGUGAAAAGCGGAGGAAUUAAGUUUAAAAUAUAAUAUACAUAUGCAUAAAAACAUAACAAGGAAAGCCAUCAUUUUGUACAACUGAAUAAAUUAAUGAUCAUGUAGUUAAGAAAAGCAGAACUUCCUAAGUCCUUCUGCAACACAUUUGACCCCAGAUCAGGAAAUCUUAAGGAAAUGAACUUGAAUAUUGUUUCAUUUUCCUGGAACACAUUCCAUGUUUCAAAAGUCUUAGAAUAUGGACCAAAAUAAGGAUGGUUAUUUCCUUCUUAAUGAAGCUUUCAGAAAGAUAAUUUCCCAGAAAGUUUACAAAAAGAUGAAAAAGAACCACUCUUCCUUCCCAUGUUCCCCACCAGACUUGCCUUGGUUGUCUUGUGAGUUCUGUGGUCAUCUCCUAUUGUCUGGAAGCCACAGUAUCUCAGCUUUACAAAAGGAAACUCCAUGCACACCCUGUGUCACAAUACAGGAAGCUAGCCUCCUCCACCAAAGAGGAGCUUCAUCUGCCUUGACUUGUCAGCGCUUUGCAUGCUGGGAUUUAUGGAGAAUUGCUCAGGCCAUGCUAAGGAAUAUACAUGCAUAAUGGAGGCACUUCAUUAAUGGUUCAUGUGGGGGUGAAUUGUUUUACUAAUAUAAUUAGCUCAAUGAUACAGGUCCAGUAAGGAAGUGAAACCACAGAACUUCCCCACCCCCAAGAGAUGACCUAACAAAGUCAGUCAAUGUUGCAUAAUGUGAUUGUAUCAACUACCACAUAUAAGCACACCAUGCCCAGCAUGGUGGUACAUGCCUGUAAUCCCAGAUGAGACAGGUGGAGCAACCUGUGCAACAAACAUAGUGAAGCUGUGUUAAAACAUCAAAAUAAAAUACACUGGAUAAAUAAAGACCUUAUUAACCAUAAA